rnacentral:rRNA from 1 species
GGUUAAGUGACUAAGCGUACACGGUGGAUGCCUGGGCAGUCAGAGGCGAUGAAGGACGUACUAACUUGCGAUAAGCGCAGAUAAGGCAGUAAGAGCCGUUUGAGUCUGCGAUUUCCGAAUGGGGAAACCCAACUGCAUAAGCAGUUACUGUUAACUGAAUACAUAGGUUAACAGAGCAAACCGGGGGAACUGAAACAUCUAAGUACCCCGAGGAGAAGAAAUCAACCGAGAUUCCGGUAGUAGCGGCGAGCGAACCUGGAUUAGCCCUUAAGCACUCGGUGAAGUAGGUGAACAAGCUGGAAAGCUUGGCGAUACAGGGUGAUAGCCCCGUAACCGACGCUUCAUCGAGCGUGAAAUCGAGUAGGGCGGGACACGUGAUAUCCUGUCUGAAUAUGGGGGGACCAUCCUCCAAGGCUAAAUACUCCUGACUGACCGAUAGUGAACCAGUACCGUGAGGGAAAGGCGAAAAGAACCCCUGUGAGGGGAGUGAAAUAGAACCUGAAACCGUGUACGUACAAGCAGUAGGAGCACCUUCGUGGUGUGACUGCGUACCUUUUGUAUAAUGGGUCAGCGACUUAUAUUCAGUGGCAAGGUUAACCGUAUAGGGGAGCCGUAGCGAAAGCGAGUCUUAACUGGGCGCUCAGUCUCUGGAUAUAGACCCGAAACCGGGUGAUCUAGCCAUGGGCAGGUUGAAGGUUGAGUAACAUCAACUGGAGGACCGAACCGACUAAUGUUGAAAAAUUAGCGGAUGACUUGUGGCUAGGGGUGAAAGGCCAAUCAAACUCGGAGAUAGCUGGUUCUCCCCGAAAGCUAUUUAGGUAGCGCCUCGGACGAAUACUACUGGGGGUAGAGCACUGUUAAGGCUAGGGGGUCAUCCCGACUUACCAACCCUUUGCAAACUCCGAAUACCAGUAAGUACUAUCCGGGAGACACACGGCGGGUGCUAACGUCCGUCGUGGAGAGGGAAACAACCCAGACCGCCAGCUAAGGUCCCAAAGUAUUGCUAAGUGGGAAACGAUGUGGGAAGGCUCAGACAGCUAGGAUGUUGGCUUAGAAGCAGCCAUCAUUUAAAGAAAGCGUAAU